rnacentral:rRNA from 1 species
UACGUAGGGGGCUAGCGUUGUCCGGAAUGAUUGGGCGUAAAGCGUCCGCAGGUGGCUGUGUAAGUCUGCUGUCAAAGAGCAAAGCUCAACUUUGUAAAGGCAGUGGAAACUACACGGCUAGAGUGCGUUCGGGGCAGAGGGAAUUCCUGGUGUAGCGGUGAAAUGCGUAGAGAUCAGGAAGAACACCUAUGGCGAAGGCAGCUCUCUGGGACGGUACUGACGCUGAGACGCGAAAGCGUGGGGAGCGAACAGG